AGUGAACGCUGGCGGUAGGCCUAAUACAUGCAAGUCGACCGGACGCACGGUAAGCUUUCUUCUUUAAGGUUGGCGGGGGGCGGAGGGGUAAGAAAUACAUCGCAUACCUCUUUUUCUGGGGGGACAUCGUGGGAAAACUGCCGCUAAUACCUCAUACUUCCAACGGCUGAAGUCAGGGGUGCUUGGCACUUUUGCUGUUUCAUUGAGCCGAUGUCGGAUUAGCUAGUUGGCGGGGUAAAGGCCCACCAAGGCAACGAUCCGUAGCUGGUCUGAGAGGAUGAUCAGCCACACUGGAACUGAGACACGGUCCAGACUCCUACGGGAGGCAGCAGUGGGGAAUAUUGGACAAUGGGCGCAAGCCUGAUCCAGCCAUACCGCGUGGGUGAAGAAGGCCUUCGGGUUGUAAAGCCCUUUUGUUGGGAAAGAAAAGCAGCAGGUUAAUACCCCGCUGUUCUGACGGUACCCAAAGAAUAAGCACCGGCUAACUUCGUG
rnacentral:rRNA from 1 species